AUUGAACGCUGGCGGCAUGCCUUACACAUGCAAGUCGAACGGCAGCGGACCUUCGGGUGCCGGCGAGUGGCGAACGGGUGAGUAAUAUAUCGGAACGUACCUUUCAGUGGGGGAUAACGUAGCGAAAGUUACGCUAAUACCGCAUAUUCUGUGAGCAGGAAAGCAGGGGAUCGCAAGACCUUGCGCUGAUUGAGCGGCCGAUAUCAGAUUAGCUAGUUGGUGAGGUAAAGGCUCACCAAGGCGACGAUCUGUAGCGGGUCUGAGAGGAUGAUCCGCCACACUGGAACUGAGACACGGUCCAGACUCCUACGGGAGGCAGCAGUGGGGAAUUUUGGACAAUGGGCGCAAGCCUGAUCCAGCCAUGCCGCGUGAGUGAAGAAGGCCUGGUUGUAAGACCUUCGCGGACGAAUACGCAC
rnacentral:rRNA from 1 species